GACGGGUAGCGGGACUGAGAGGUGGACCCGCCACAUCGGAACUGAGACACUGUCCGGACCUCCACGGAGGGCUGCAGUAACGAAUAUUGGGCAAUGGGCGAAAGCCUGACCCAGCAAUGCCGCGUGUAGGAUGAAGCUUUUCGGAGUGUAAACUACUUUCAGGGAUUAGAAAGCUACGGUUGAUCAAUCCCAGAAGAAGUCACGGCUAACUUCGUGCCAGCAGCCGCGGUAAUACGAAGGUGGCAAGCGUUAUUCGAAAUCACUGGGCUUAAAGGGCGCGUAGGCGGAUAUGAAAGUGUCAGGUGAAAUCCCCCGGCUUAACCGGGGAAUUGCCUGACAAACUCCAUAUCUUGAGGCAAGUAGGGGUGUGUGGAACUCUUGGUGGAGCGGUGGAAUGCGUAGAUAUCAAGAGGAACGCCGAAGGUGAAGACAGCACACUGGACUUGUACUGACGCUGAGGCGCGAAAGCGUGGGGAGCGAACAGGAUUAGAUACCCUGGUAGUCCACGCCGUAAACGAUGUAUACUAGGUCGCGGAGGUUCUGACACCGUCGCGGUCGUAGCAAAAGUGUUAAGUAUACCGCCUGGGGAGUACGGUCGCAAGGCUAAAACUCAAAGGAAUUGACGGGGGCUCACACAAGCGGUGGAGCAUGUGGAUUAAUUCGAAUCAACGCGCAGAACCUUACCUGGGUUUGACAUGUUUGGAUGCCUAUCUGGAAACAGAGUCGGCUGCCCUCGGGUGAAACUUACACAGGUGCUGCAUGGCUGUCGUCAGCUCGUGUCGUGAGAUGUCGGGUUAAGUCCUUUAACGAGCGAAACCCUUACCGUUAGUUGCCAGCGCGUCAUGGCGGGGACUCUAGCGGGACUGCCGGUGUUAAACCGGAGGAAGGCGGGGAUGACGUCAAGUCCUCAUGGCCUUUAUGCCCAGGGCUUCACACGUGCUACAAUGGCAGGUACAAAGCGACGCGAGACCGCGAGGUGGAGCAAAUCGCAAAAAACCUGCCCCAGUUCAGAUUGCAGGCUGACAACUCGCCUGCAUGAAGGUGGAAUCGCUAGUAAUCGCGUAUCAGCGAUGACGCGGUGAAUGUGUUCCUGAGCCUUGUACACACCGCCCGUCAAAUCACGGGAGUUGGGAGUACCCGAAGUCGGAUUGCUAACUUGUAAAAGAGGCGUCUGCCGACGGUAAGUCCGAUGACUGGGAUUAAGUCGUAACAAGGUA
rnacentral:rRNA from 1 species